CAUGCAGUCGACGAGAAGUUUCCUUCGGGAAAUUAGUAAAGUGGCGCAAGGGUGAGUAUCACGUGAAUAAUCUGCCCUCGAGAUCGGGAUAACAUGGUGAAAACUAUGCUAAUACCGGAUAAGACCACGUUUCAUAAGAAAUGCGGUAAAAGGAGUCUCAAUCUUCACUCGAGGAUGAGUUCGCGCAACAUUAGCUUGUUGGUGAGAUAAAAGCUCACCAAGGCUACGAUGUUUAGCCGGCCUGAGAGGGUGAACGGCCACACUGGAACUGAGACACGGUCCAGACUCCUACGGGAGGCAGCAGUGGGGAAUAUUGCGCAAUGGGCGAAAGCCUGACGCAGCAACGCCGUGUGAGCGAUGAAGGCUUUAGAGUCGUAAAGCUCUGUCAAAUGGGAAGAAUUUUGACGGUACCAUUAGAGGAAGCCCCGGCUAACUCCGUGCCAGCAGCCGCGGUAAUACGGAGGGGGCAAGCGUUGUUCGGAAUUAUUGGGCGUAAAGCGUAUGUAGGCGGCUAAGUAAGUCAGGCGUGCAAGCCCGUGGCUCAACCACGGAAUUGCGUUUGAUACUGUUUAGCUUGAGUGCAGGAGAGGAAAGCGGAAUUCCCAGUGUAGCGGUGAAAUGCAUUGAUAUUGGGAGGAACAUCUGUGGCGAAGGCGGCUUUCUGGUCUGUUACUGACGCUGAGAUACGAAAGCCAGGGUAGCGAACGGGAUUAGAUACCCCGGUAGUCCUGGCUGUAAACGAUGGGCACUAGGUGCAGGAGGUAUCGAUCCCCUCUGUGCCGUAGCUAACGCGUUAAGUGCCCCGCCU
rnacentral:rRNA from 1 species